AUCCUCUCAGGGUCACACCUGGAGAGUUUCUAGUACCCUACUAGUCUCAAAUGUGUGAGGGAGAGUCAAGCAGAGGCAUACCCAUUCCAUUCCUAGCUUGGGCAGUGGCUAGAGAGUGGAAGGCAACCUGCUACAAGU
rnacentral:snoRNA from 1 species